rnacentral:lncRNA from 11 species
UGAACAGCAGCCUGCCUUCUUUUGGAGAAAGUGGACUACUAUUUAUAAUGACUCAAGGACCUAUGGAGGAAAUGUGGCUGGGACAAAGGAUUCAAGCUCUCCAGAAUUCUUUCCUUGCUUUCUGCACCCUACAAAAGUGAAGAUGCACCGGGUUACAUAGGAGAUGGCAUCUGGUCCUCUGGGUUUUGCUGGCAGAAUUCUUCCAUCAACAUGACCAUUGGUAAUGUGUUCUUUGGAUACAACUGCAUACUAAAAAUUAUGUAUUAGAAGGAAAUGGGUGCAAAAGUCACA